AAAAUACAAAAUAGUACAACACAACUUGCCAUCAUCUAUACUUUUUAAGCUUAACAAAAGCAGCCACCCUCCUUUGUUCCUCUUAUUCUUCUUAAAUCUUGAAAACAUCUCUGUCUAAAUAUUUUGUUUGUUUGGAUUAGGUAUCUUAUUGAACAAAAUCUGAGAACCCUUUAUUCUUUGCUUCUAUUAGAAGAAGAAGCUGACUUUCAUAACUUCAAGAAAAAGAGAGAAAUUUGGAAAAUGGAUGUGGACUUUUGGGCUGCAAGAAUAAAUUCAGCUAGGCAUCUCUCUGCUGUACAAACCAACAGGCUCAGCAAUUAUGCAGAUACUCUCUCAAAUGUGGAUAAUACUGAAGGAGAAGGGGAUGUAAGAGCCUGGUUCCCCUGCCCUUUCUGUUAUGUAGAAAUUGAAGUGCAGGUGCUUUGCAACCAUUUGCAAGAAGAGCAUUGCUUUGAUUUCAAAAACGCGGUUUGUCCCAUAUGUGCUGCAACUUUAGGUAAAGAUCCUCUGGGGCAUUUUACAAUGCAGCAUGCACAAUCAGUAAAGGGGAGGAGAAAAUACCCGAAGUCAGGCUUUUGGAAUAAUGCUACUGCAAUAAGUGGCAAGGAUCCUCAUGAAAUAAAUUCGCUCUUCUGCACAAAUUUAAUGGUUGGUCGCUACAAUGUACAAGAACCUGCUCCUGAUCCCCUUUUGCUGCCAUUUCUCUGUAGCAUGACACCUGAUCCUAAAGAUGAUAUACAAGAUAAGUCUCCUGGUAGUGUUGCUGCUGCUCCUGAUGUAGAAAGGUCACCGGUGUUCUGUCCCUCUUACUCAACCCAAAGCAAGUCAACUUCUUGAGAAACCAAUGCAUACUAGCUAUUCAAAGUAGAUUCAGCUUCUUUCUGGGGUUUACCAUCUAUAGUGCCCCCAUCAUGUUGAAGUUUGGACUUAUCAUCUUUGGCAUACAAGAAGACAACCAGAGCACGGGAGUACUAGUAGCAAAGAAUCCUUAAGUGAGUAAAAGAUGAACGACUAUGGUGAUGAAAAGGCAGUGAUGGACACAUUAAACAUGAAACGAAGGUACCAUGACUUGAAAUGUCCUAUGAAUUCUACCCUCGGCCCUUGAAUUAAAUGCCAAAAUGGACCAUUCUGAGCAGCAAGCUGCCAAUAUGUGAUCCAGCUCUGGAAGAACAGUAUGAAGAGAAAAGGCAAAGAGCUGCAUUUAUUCAAGAGCUUAUUGCUUCAACUAUCUUCUAAGACAUGCAUAACCAGACACAAGAUUCCACCCAACGAAGAAAACAGUUUUAGACCAUAUGUGUAUGAGAAUAAUGCUUCACAGAAACUUAUAGGUGCUAUAUGUAUCGGAUUACUAGCUAAAAUCUCAAAUUAUCUGUAACUUCAUUCAUGGCUAGAACCUAUUUACAUGAACACAUAUGCACUGGAUAGUAUUUGUAUACAGACAAUGCUAGUGAAAAAUUGGGAGUUUUCAAGUGUGUUCAUACAUUGGUUAAGUUCAGAUAGUAGGGAUUACGGAGU